UUCUGAUUUAUUGUUUUCCAAUUGUUGCGAUUGUUGUUGGAAUGUUUAACUGCGCUCAAAAAGUUUCUUUGCGAAAUUCGACUGAUAAGAUGGAGAAGAAGAGUAGGAGAAGAGUUGCCAAAUCGAGUGUUCGGCAAAACAAAGUUUACCCAAUUCAGGAUGACAAAGAUUUGCCUGCGACGAAAUGUGACUCCUGGAUCAAAGGGGAGUCGCCGUUGCGAGCAAAUAAUCCGAAAGAAGGAGGAAGGUCUAUCGGAUAUUUAAGACGUUUAUUCCAUAGAUUCUUGUUAUGUUGUUGCUGCAUUUCGGUUGAGAUUUCUGAUUAGAAGAUUUAAGAACCGGAGUGAAGAAAGAACCUUUAGUGGUUCGAGGAGAUAACUACACUUUACUCCAUUUGUACCGUCUGUAUAACAGGACGUUUUUGGAUAUUAGCAUAAAGUUUUGAACUUAUUAUACCUCACAAUAAUUAGAAUGGUCGGAAGAGGUGUUAUUUGCGCUAUGUUUUGGUGUAUUAAUUACAAGAUAUAAAGUGAUCGCGAGUCGUUUUACCGACACCCUAAAGACAAACAAGUAUGAAUUCAAUGCGUUAUUAAUAGUAGAAUGACUGAUUUAGACGAGAUUUUGAAAACGAAACGGCCAGAAUAUUUAAAUAGAAAUUAUUCCGACCAUUUUACAGGGAAAGAUUUCAGAA